GAACGGUUAGCUCAGAUGGUUAGAGCACUGGCACGGCACGCCAGAGGUGGUGGGUUCGAGUCCCGCAUUGUUCA